AAAAAAGCUUCAAAGGGGGAAAAGUACACAACAUGAGGGCCAUAUUUUGUGGCAAUCUGGAGUUUGACGCUCGCCAGUCAGAUGUGGAGCGGCUUUUCAGAAGAUAUGGGAAGGUUGAUAGGGUGGAUAUGAAAUCUGGAUUUGCUUUCAUUUAUAUGGAGGACGAGCGAGAUGCUGAUGAUGCAAUUAGAAGGCUUGACAGGAUAGAGUUUGGUAAAAAGGGACGCAGGCUUCGUGUAGAAUGGACUAAGGAUCGUGGUAGUAGGAGGCCUGAAAUUUCCAGAAAACCUGCUGCGAAUACUAGACCUUCAAAGACUUUAUUUGUCAUCAAUUUUGAUCCAGUUCAUACUCAGACAAGGGACAUAGAGAAGUAUUUUGAACCAUAUGGUAGAAUAUCAAAUGUUCGAAUUAGAAAGAAUUUCGCGUUUGUUCAGUAUGAGUCAGUGGAUGAUGCUAGCAGAGCAUUAGAAGCAACAAACAUGAGCAAGUUCAUGGAUCGAGUUAUUUCUGUGGAAUUUGCAAUUCGAGACGAUGAUGACAGGAGAAAUGGUCGCAGUCCUGACAGGAGAGGCCGUGACAUGUCGCCUGACAGAAGAGGUUAUGAUCGUCGGCGUUCCCCUAGCCCAUAUAGAAGGGAUAGGGGUAGUCCUGACUAUGGACGUGGAGCACCUCUAAACUCAAGGCCUCAGACCAGGAGAAGUCCUGAGUAUGGUCGAGCAGAAAGUCCCGUCAAUGAGAGAUAUCACAGUCGUUCACCACCUCCGCGUGAGAGGUCUCGAUCUUGAGAGGAAACUUCCAACCAAAGAUUUGAUAAGAAAGAAACACCUUCCAAUUCAAGAAAGAAGCAUCACUUGUUUAUGCUGUCUGUAGGUCUCAUCGUCGUCUGGAAUUUUGAGCUCUAACUUUGGGUAGUCAACCUGCAGAUUUUUACUAUGUUGUACCAUUUUGUACUUUAGUUUGAACUUCAUUUCCAUUGGGUGAGUAUGUUGGUG
rnacentral:misc_RNA from 1 species